CUCCUACGGGAGGCAGCAGUGGGGAAUAUUGCACAAUGGGGGAAACCCUGAUGCAGCGACGCCGCGUGGAGGAAGAAGGUCUUCGGAUUGUAAACUCCUGUUGUUGUGGAAGAUAAUGACGGUACUCAACAAGGAAGUGACGGCUAACUACGUGCCAGCAGCCGCGGUAAAACGUAGGUCACAAGCGUUGUCCGGAAUUACUGGGUGUAAAGGGAGCGCAGGCGGGAGAACAAGUUGGAAGUGAAAUCCAUGGGCUCAACCCAUGAACUGCUUUCAAAACUGUUUUUCUUGAGUAGUGCAGAGGUAGGCGGAAUUCCCGGUGUAGCGGUGGAAUGCGUAGAUAUCGGGAGGAACACCAGUGGCGAAGGCGGCCUACUGGGCACCAACUGACGCUGAGGCUCGAAAGUGUGGGUAGCAAACAGGAUUAGAUACCCUGGUAGUCCACACCGUAAACGAUGAUUACUAGGUGUUGGAGGAUUGACCCCUUCAGUGCCGCAGUUAACACAAUAAGUAAUCCACCUGGGGAGUACGACCGCAAGGUUGAAACUCAAAGGAAUUGACGGGGGCCCGCACAAGCAGUGGAGUAUGUGGUUUAAUUCGACGCAACGCGAAGAACCUUACCAAGUCUUGACAUCCCUUGACGAACAUAGAAAUAUGUUUUCUCUUCGGAGCAAGGAGACAGGUGGUGCAUGGUUGUCGUCAGCUCGUGUCGUGAGAUGUUGGGUUAAGUCCCGCAACGAGCGCAACCCUUAUGGUCAGUUACUACGCAAGAGGACUCUGGCCAGACUGCCGUUGACAAAACGGAGGAAGGUGGGGAUGACGUCAAAUCAUCAUGCCCUUUAUGACUUGGGCUACACACGUACUACAAUGGCGUUAAACAAAGAGAAGCAAGACCGCGAGGUGGAGCAAAACUCAGAAACAACGUCCCAGUUCGGACUGCAGGCUGCAACUCGCCUGCACGAAGUCGGAAUUGCUAGUAAUCGUGGAUCAGCAUGCCACGGUGAAUACGUUCCCGGGCCUUGUACACACCGC
rnacentral:rRNA from 1 species